AGUCAGCUGUGAGGAUCAGGAAGAGAUCAAAGAAAGUAGAAAUGUGGGUGAGGCCAGAGAAGGAGACAAUAAUCUAGGAUGGAACAUUGAAGAGGAACACUGCCUCUGGAGAGGACUCCAAAACGAGGCCAUGACAGAGGCACCUGAAGAAGACCUCUACAUAGGCCUCAGAUAAAGAGACCUAAGAAUGGAGGAUCCUGAGCUGGCAAUAUAAAUAUGCACAAGGGCGUGACCAGCCAGGGGGUCCUUGACUGCAACUCCCUUCAAAGACUGCAAUGCAUUGGCUGUGAACCAAGUCUGGGGUGGGCAGAACAGCCUCUCCACACCCUGUAAACCUGCCAGAAUCCGCCUGUUAAAUUCCUGGUUGGCCUGCUGCUUGCCCCAAGUGGGGCUGCAACCUCAAGGUAGCGAAGCUGUGGAUUUGUCCUGCUCAUUUCCAAGUGUUCAUUCCCAUGUUAAGCCAGCAAAGCCAAGGAUUUUCAACCCCCCCAGCCACUGCUCUGAAUUGAAUCUGUCUGUAUGGCAGCAAAGCUACUAGUUUUCAUGGUCAGCCCCAUCUUACUUAAAAGUCAUUGGCUGAGCUGGGGGGUGACGGGAGCAGCCACAGGCAGAAAAAGCCAGAAUCUCCUAC